CCUACGGGCGGCUGCAGUGGGGAAUAUUGCACAAUGGGCGCAAGCCUGAUGCAGCCAUGCCGCGUGUGUGAAGAAGGCCUUCGGGUUGUAAAGCACUUUCAGCGGGGAGGAAGGCGGUGAGGUUAAUAACCUCAUCGAUUGACGUUACCCGCAGAAGAAGCACCGGCUAACUCCGUGCCAGCAGCCGCGGUAAUACGGAGGGUGCAAGCGUUAAUCGGAAUUACUGGGCGUAAAGCGCACGCAGGCGGUCUGUCAAGUCAGAUGUGAAAUCCCCGGGCUCAACCUGGGAACUGCAUUCGAAACUGGCAGGCUAGAGUCUUGUAGAGGGGGGUAGAAUUCCAGGUGUAGCGGUGAAAUGCGUAGAGAUCCGGAGGAAUACCGGUGGCGAAGGCGGCCCCCUGGACAAAGACUGACGCUCAGGUGCGAAAGCGUGGGGAGCAAACAGGAUUAGAUACCCUUGUAGUC
rnacentral:rRNA from 1 species